rnacentral:tRNA from 1 species
UAAAGUAUAGUGUUAUAUACAUAUUUGGCCGUUAACCAAAAGAAAUUAAUUAAAAUUUAAGUAGUUGCUUUAU